rnacentral:rRNA from 1 species
AUGUUUGCAGAUGAUCUCCUUGUUUGUGGCCAGGCCACUUUGCAAGAAGCAAAUACUAUAAAUCAACUACUCCUUUCCUUUUGUGCCACUUCUGGCCAAGUUCCGAACUGGAACAAAUCAGGCAUUCUUUUCAGCCAAGGGGUGGAUAGUACCACUGAACAAGGCAUAAGAAACAUUUUUCCUGUCCCUUUCAUUGAUAGCAAUUUCACUCAUUUAGGACAUCCUCUCAUUCUUCCAGCCAAAGAUAGAUCAUCUGCCUAUAACUUUGUUAUCGAUAAAUUCAAAGCCAAACUCCCAGCCUAUAAAGCCAACAAACUCUCUCAUGCUGGUAGGCUCACUCUCAUAAAUUCAGCCUUUGCUUCUAUUCCUAUUUAUUACAUGUCAAACAUUCUCUUCCCCAAGAAAUUCUUAGCUAAGCUUACUACAAUCAUUAGGGAUUUCUGGUGGACUGGGGUUAGGGAGGAAACUAGUGCUAAAUCACUUCGCUUAAGAGCAUGGAAGGAUAUUUGUACUCCAAAAAAUGAAGGAGGGCUAGGAAUCAAGAAUAUGUAGGCCACUAAUAGAAGUCUCAUU